AGAAUCAACGCUGGCGGCGUGCCUAACACAUGCAAGUCGAACGAGAAAGUGGAGCAAUCCAUGAGUACAGUGGCGUACGGGUGAGUAACACGUGACUACCUACCCUCGAGUGGGAAUAACCUCGGGAAACCGGGGCUAAUACCGCAUAAAUGUCUUCGGACCAAAUGCGUAAGCAGCUUGAGGAGGGGUCGCGGCCGAUUAGCUAGUUGGUGAGGUAAUGGCCCACCAAGGCAAUGAUCGGUA
rnacentral:rRNA from 1 species